rnacentral:tRNA from 1 species
GCCGGCGUGGCGGAAUUGGUAGACGCAGCAGACUCAAAAUCUGCCGCCAGCAAUGGUGUGGGAGUUCAAGUCUCCCCGCCGGCA